GGGCCAUUAGCUCAGCUGGUAGAGCAACAGACUCUUAAUCUGUGGGUCGUAGGUUCGAACCCUACAUGGCUCA
rnacentral:tRNA from 1 species